UCUGGUUCCAAGUCCAAUAUGGAAACUCUGAAGGAUCAGCCAAUUCAUAAUCUUCUAAAGGACGAACAGACCCCCAGAAUAAGAUUACAGUUGUUGGGGCUGGUGCUGUUGGCAUGGCCUGUGCCAUCAGUAUCUUAAUGAGGGACUUGACAGGUAAACUUGCUCUUGUUGAUGUCAUGGAAGACAAACUGAAGGGCGAGAUGAUGGAUCUCUAACAUGGCAGCCUUUUCCUUAGAACACCAAAGAUUAUCUCUGGCAAAGACUAUAGUGUAACUGCAAACUCCAAGCUGGUCAUACCAUGGCUGGGCAUGUCAGCAACAGGGAGAAAGCCAUCUUAAUUUGGUCCGGCAUAACAUGAACAUCUUUAAAUUCAUCAUUCCUAAUGUAAAAUACAGCCUGAACUGCACAUUGCUUAUUGUUUCAAAUCCAGUUGGUAUCUUGACCUAUGUAACUUGGAAGAUAAGUGGCUUUCCCAAAAACCUUGUUACUGGAAGUGGUUGCAAUCUGGAUUCAGCCCGAUUCCAUUACCUGAUGGAGGAAGGGCUGGGAGUUCACCCAUUAAGCUGUCAUGGGUGCGUCCUUAGGGAACAUGGAGAUUCUAGCUGUGCCUGUAUGGAGUGGUGUGAAUGUUGCUGGUUUCUCCCUGAAGACUCUGCACCCAGAUUUAGGGACGGAUACAGAUAAGGAACAGUGGAAAGAAGUUCAUAAGCAGGUGGUUGAGGGUGCUUAGGAGGUGAUCAAACUCAAAGGCUACAUAUCCUGGGCCACUGGACUCUCCGUGGCAGAUUUGGCAGACUAUAAUGAAGAAUCUUAGGCGGGUGCAUCUAAUUCCACCAUAAGGGUCUCCAUGAUAUAAAGGCUGGUGUCUUCUUUAGUGUUCCUUGCAUGUUGGGACAGAAUGGAAUCUCAGACCUUGUGAAGGUGACUCUGACUCCCAAGGAACAGGCCCGUUUGAAGAAGAGUACAGAUAUGCUUAGGGGAUCCAAAAAGAGCUGCAAUUUUAAAGUCUUCUGAUGUCAUACAAUUUCACUGUCUAGGCUACAACAGGAUUUUAGCUGGAGGUUGUGCAUGUUGUCCUUUUUAUCUGAUCUGUGAUUAAAGCAGUAAUGUUAAGAUGGAUUGGGAAAAACAUCAAUUCCUAAAGUUAGAAAUAGGAAUGGUCUGUAAAAUCCUACAGCUAUAUCCUGAUGCUGGAUAGUGCUACUGUUGAGUAGUCCUAAAAUGGUUAGUGUGAAAUAGUUCUGCCACCUCUGAGGCACCACUGCAGAUGCUGCACAUGCUGUGGUUGCCCCUUGAACCAGAUGGAUGUUUACCAUGUUUUAUAUAACUUCCUGGCUCCUUCAUUGAACAUGCCUAGUUCAACUUUUUUUUUCCAAUCAAUAACAUCCUGGGAUCCAGUGUAUAAAUCUAAUAUUGCGUGUCUUGUGCAUAAUUGUUCCAAAGGAUCUUAUUUUGUGAACUAUAUCAGCAGUGUACAUUACCAUAUAAUGUAACAAGAUCUACAUAUAAACAAUGUAACCAACUAUCCAAGUGUCAUACCAACUAAAACCCCCAAUAAACCUUGAACAGUGAAAAAAAAAAAGAGAAAAAAGAAA